rnacentral:lncRNA from 1 species
ACUAACUUACCCCAUUUUCUAUAUCAUGUUUAUCAUCAUGAUAGCAUCUUGUGUUUUCCAAGUCAAGUUCCUGAAUCAAGCCACGAAACUCUACAAUACGACAACAGUGGUGCCAGUUAAUCAUAUUUUCUUUACAAUCAGUGCCAUCAUUGCAGGUAUCAUAUUUUAUCAGGAAUUCCUUGGUGCUCCUUUUCUCACUGUAUUUAUAUAUCUUUUUGGGUGUUUUCUGUCAUUCCUUGGUGUAUUUUUGGUCACAAGAAAUCGAGAAAAGGAACAUCUGCAACAGUCUUAUAUUGAUUUUGGAAAUAUUCCUGGUAAAAUCAUAUAUUCUUUAUAGUGGAAAAUUUGAUCCUUAUAAAUGAAUAGUUAUUGGUAUUAUUUUGGGUGGUAAGUUAAUAUAAAACAUAAUUCUUAUCCUAAAAAAUGUACAUUUAAUAAUGAAACCAAAGGUGCUAUUUUCAGUGUAAAUGUUUCUAAUAAUUUAUUGAAUGUCAGUUUUGCACAGAACUGGGGAUAUAAAAGAACUGACCAUGUUUCCUCGAUUUGGGUGAUUUGGAGGAUUUCCUUUUUGGGUUUCCUUAAAUUGGAAAAGGGUAGAGAAAAGAGUAGCAAUGACUACCAGCAGCAGACCCCUGCCACUUUGAGAGCCUUGAAGGAACAUCCAAGGACAAAGGGUAGGCAGCUAAGGAGCAUGUCUUGGGGGAAGCCUGAGGUGGCCUGUGCACUGUGGCUCAGGACAGUCACCAAAACAUGAGUAGUUUCUUCCCCCUUCCUCACCCCGCCUACCCAGAGAGCAAACACUCUUUCCCGUUCUCACUCUCACUGAGAAAUAACUCGCCUAGUCAUGUAGACAACAAAAGCCAAGUCCAGGACAAAGGAAACUGUCUGCUGUGUCACCUCUUCCCCUGUCCACCCGCCCUCAGCACUCUCCAGCCUUACUGGGGAUGUAGGGGGACCUAUAGGUUUCCAGGCAGGAGUGGAGACAUUCUCACAGCUUUCUCCACCAUUCUGUUAGCACCAUGCCUGUGAAGCAAAAACUAGGGAAGCCUCAUCCCUAAGACUGAGAAAUAUGGCCCCAUGCAAUGAAUUCUGUGUUCUCUUUGCCAUUCGAGCCAUCUUAUCUGCUGGGAGCAGUCAAUGAAAGAAUUGGCAUCAGUGGCAAAGGUGCUUGUGAUAGAAGCCUUAUAUGGUUAGAGGUUCUUUGAUAGGAAAUAAAGUUUGACUUUUUUUUUUUUUUUUGAGAUGGAGUCUUGCUCUGUUGCCCAGGCUGGAGUGCAGUGGCACAAUCUCAGCUUACUGCAGCCUCCCCCUCCCGGGUUCAAGUGAUUCUCGUGUCUCAGCCUCCCGAGUAGGCACCACCAUGCCCGGCUAAUUUUUGUAUUUUUAGCAGAGGUGGGUUUUCACCAUGUUGGCCAGGCUGGUCUCGAAUUCCUGACCUCAAAUGAUUCGCCUGCCUCGGCCUCCCAAUGUGCUGGGAUGAUAGGUGUGAGCCACUGCACCGAGCCUGAUUAUUUUUAACUCUAUUUUUUAUUUCACAAAGCUCAGUGCAUAGGCUCCGUAGUAGCUUUAGAAGUCACUAUCAAAGGCUAUUUUUCUAUGUUGUUAUAUGCAUUCGACGUGGAAAAGAAGACACAACCCCAGAGAGAAAGGCUUGGAGGUGAGUGAAUGCUUCAUGUGAAUCUCCAGACUAAACCCACCUGAUUUCCAUGGCCAGCAUGUAGAUCCUGUGGGGUGGGGAUAGUGGCUCUGACACAGACAAUUCGCUAUCACAUAGCUACAGACAUGGCGUUUCAAGGGCCUUUUCUUCCUUGAUAUUCAUCUCUUCUCUUUAGAGAGUGCCCACAUAGUAUAAAAGAGAGGUGAUAAAAUGUGGCCUAGAUUGAGGAGAAAUUAUUAAGACUUAUUUUUCUGUAAGACCUCAAAAGAUUCUCUAUGAUUAUUAUCUCCACAGGGAAACAAAUGUUGGACAAAAUACAACCAGAUUCACAUAGCUUAUCCUAUGGAACUUUGCCUGAUGGAAGUGACUCAACAAAGAGCCAAAGUGGAGAGAAGAAAGAGGUCUAAAUGCUGAGAAGGAUGGCUGUUGGCCUGUUAUUCGAUACCACCUUUUUAAAAAAUUGCACAUGUUCAAUUUGUGUCAGCAGCUCUUUUAUAAGCUAACAUGUGCUAGCAUUCAUUUCAGUCCUUUCCCCCACCUCAGCGUCUAUGGACAAUCGGGGACUUCCUAAGCUCUGACAGUCUAAUAUUUCCAUGGAAUGUGAUUUGGAGUGUUCCCCACACCCUGGACCUCUCCCUAGUGAUUAUCUAGCCAGCUACACCUUACUCAGAGCCCGGCUGCUCUAGCAGGAAUGUUGCACAGAAACAUACAUUUGCGGUUUGGCCACAGGUCGCAUAGGUGGCUUCUCCCACGGGUAGUGUCAGUUGCUUCACUUUAAAAAGUCACUUCAGCCCCACAACCUCACUCCCAAAAGAAAGGUUUGAGAGCGCUCAUUUUUUUUCUAAGACACCUUUUAUAAGCCUCCCUAUAAAAAUCUCACCUUUCAAGUACUAAGUUAGAAUUGCAAGUCAUCUUUUCUGAAAACUAAUGCUAUCAAAGUCCUCCUUUGAAAAUUAAGGGUCUCUUUAAAAUUAGAAUUUAUAAAUGGCAUUCAGUGAUAGUGUACACCAAAAUUAAAAGACCUUGACUGGUGGGCUUUUUACGUGUAAGGAAGAGGAAGUUUAAGAAGUAGGACUCUGCUUGUUUCAGUAGCCCAUGUACUAAAAUAGGAACAAUGCAGAGAUUAGCACAGCCCCUGCACAAGGCUGACACAUAAAUUCAUGAAGCGUUAGAGACAAAAAGUAGGACUAAUGUUUGUUUAUUUUUUAAUAAAAAUCUAGAAUGGUGAUGUUUUCUUCAGCUGUAUGAUUCUAUCAUACUUGAAACUGAAGAAAAAUUUAAUAUCCUAUGUCUUUUUUAUAGAUCUUAUAAUUUAUCAAGUGGAUUUAUAUGUCUUAUUCUCCAUAUAAGUCUAAAAAAUCACAUUUAAAUUCUUAGUGAUAGUUUCACUACACAUCAUUUCUUCCCAAAGUCAUUACCUCAAGCUUUGUAAAUUCUUCUAGAUAAAAGGAGAGUUGUGAUUAGAGAACUGAAUUUCAGCCAUUUAAACCUGUAGACAUAGAAAACAACCCAGUGGUCAAACCUGAGCUUCAAGAGGAAGCCCAAGUCCUCCUGUUUCCUGAAUGGCUUUUCCACUCCAAUUCAUCACAUAUCUGCUAAGACACAUUUGCAGGUAGAAUCCAUAAUAAUAUCUGUUAUUUAUGAUCUACCUAAUAUUUAAAGGAGAAGAAAAGAAGUAGCCUUCGUUGCAGCCAACAUCCAACAAUAAGUCCCACCCUUAAUGACAUUUCAAAGCCUUCAGAUCACUUCUGACAUGUCUGUCCAAUAUCAUUCCAAUCAAUAGUCUUGCAUUUAAAUAGGUUGUUUAACUCGGUGGUAUUGAGACUGUAACCUUAAUGGCUCAGGUCUUUUAGCUUUGUUCUUUGUCAUAAUCUGCACUCCUGGCCAGACUGACCAAACCUGGCUGCAAAGGAAAGAGAUUUGAAUUGAUCACCAAUGUAUGAAAAAUACAGAACCCAUGUCUGGCUCCUAAACUCCUGGUAAUAAUUCCCGCCAUCGUAGCAAGUGUCCCAUGCAUUCAGAUAAAGCAGUCAUAAUUUAUGGUGUAUUUUACCGAAUUGGUCCAGCAUAUUGGUCCUACAAGGCUCAGCCAAGAAAUGUAUCUGGUGCCUUAAACUACAGAUUUCUGGUGACUCUUAAAACUGGUUUACAAAGAUUGAGAAAACAAUUAGAUUGAAGAGUUUUGCUUCAAGUAGACCUGCAUUCAUAGCUAGAGUGCAUGAGAUUUUCAGCACUGUAGAAUUUCACACAGGCACAAGCAUAACACCAGUACUUUAGCAGCCGCCAACAGUUGCAUCUAUUAAACGUUUUGAGAAAUGACAUUGACUUAUGCACAUUUAAGCAAUCAACAAUGUUUUAGAAGUCCAGGUAACAUAUAAAAUAUAUUCAGACCUAGUUUUACUUUCCAUAUUGUUGCUCCAAAGUAAGGUAAAUAGGAGUUUUAGUUGUACUGGCCUGUAAGAUUUUUUAAAUUACACAGUGCAUGACAACAACUAAAGCCAACUCAGUCCUUCUCUUGGCAUUGUGAGUUGAGGACCUUUAGCCAACUGUUAGCUCAUCUGACUAUCUGUCUAGACCAAGGGUCGGCAAAGUUUUCAGUAAAGACCCACAGAGUACAUAUUUUGGAGUUUGUGUUGUCUGUACCAACAGACAGACAUGGUGUCUGUCCCAACUACCCAACUCUGCCAUUGUAGCACUAAAGCAGCCAUAGACAAGAUGUAAACAGAAGAGCAUGGCUGUGUUCCAGUAAAACUUUAUUUACAGGCCAGGCAUGGUGGCUCAUGCCUGUAAUCCCAGCACUCUGGGAGGCUGAGGCUGACAGAUCAUCUGAGGUUAGGAGUUUGGGACCAGCCUGGUCAACAUAGUGAAACCCCAUCUCUACUAAAAGUACAAAAAUUAGCCAGGCAUGACGGUGGGUGCCUGGAGUCCCAGCUACCUGGGAGGCUGAGGCAGGAGAAUCACUUGAACCCGGGAGGUGGAGGUUGCAGUGAGCCGAGAUCAUGCCAUUGCACUCCAGCCUGGGCGACAGAGUAAGACUGUCUCAAAAACAAACAAACAAACAAACAAACAAAAACAAGUGGCCAGUCUGUGAGCUAUAGUUCCCAACACCUGGUCUAGACUCUUCUGCCCUUGCUCUGCAGCUUCUUUCCUGUUGAUUGGGCAUUCAGGGAAGGAGUUUAAAAAGUGACACUCAUGGCUCAUGACAAAUGAGAUACUUUGGGAGUGUGGAAACAUGGCUUGAUAUUUGCCUUCAGAUAUUUUUGCUUAUAUAAGUUCUAAAUGGAAGUGAUAAGUUCAUUCUUAGGGUCCAAGUUGAAAGGCAGUGGUUCUUUUGUGAACACCACUAACUACAUUCGAAAAGCCUCUCCAAUUCCACAUUCCAAGUCUAUAACAGCUUUGGAAAUGAGUAACAAUGACCUCUCAUGUAGUAGAUUAAAGCAGAGGCCUUUGCCAUAUGAUUGUUUUUUGGCUUAAAUGUUUGCUUGCCCUGUAACUGUAAUACUUUGGUUACCAGAAUCACUUGAAAACAAAUACAAUAAAA